CCACAACUUUGUGAAGGCCAUCAAUUCUGUUCAGAAGUCUUGGACUGCAACCACCUAUGAAGAAUAUGAGAAACUGAGCAUACGAGAUUUGAUAAGGAGAAGUGGCCACAGCGGAAGGAUCCUAAGGCCCAAACCUGCCCCGAUAACUGAUGAAAUACAGCAACAAAUUUUAAGUUUGCCAGAAUCUUGGGACUGGAGAAACGUCCGUGGCAUCAAUUUUGUUAGCCCUGUUCGAAACCAAGGUAAAACUAACAAAUGUCCAAUCUUUCACAAUCUUUACCCACAAGCUGUUAUUAAUUAUUUAUGGGCUGCAGGAUGGAUUUAGGGAUACAGAAAAGGAAUGGUCAUGGUCUUUCUACUUUAGCAAAGAGAGGAAGGCCAAGUAUGGUGGCACACAUUUGUAGAGGCUGAAGCCAACAUUGGUACAUUGCCUACACUAUAUAGUAUGGUCCUGCAUUCCAAAAAAAAAAAAAAAAA
rnacentral:lncRNA from 1 species